GAUGAACGCUAGCGGAAGGCCUAAUACAUGCAAGUCGAGCGGUAGAGUGACUUCGGUUGCUUGAGAGCGGCGCACGGGUGAGUAACGCGUACAUGACCUACCUUUAAGUAGAGGAUAGCCCUGGGAAACUGGGAUUAAUACACUAUGUGAUUAUAAUUAAUAGAGGGUUAUAAUUAAAGCUGAGGCGCUUAAAGAUGGAUGUGCGUCUGAUUAGCUAGUUGGUGAGGUAAAGGCUCACCAAGGCGACGAUCAGUAGGGGGCGUGAGAGCGUGAUCCCCCACACGGGUACUGAGACACGGACCCGACUCCUACGGGAGGCAGCAGUAAGGAAUAUUGGACAAUGGAGGGAACUCUGAUCCAGCCAUUCCGCGUGGAGGAAGAAGGCCCUAUGGGUUGUAAACUUCUUUUAGAUGGGAAUAAAAUUAUGUCUGCGGAUGUAACUGAAGGUACCAUCAGAAUAAGCACCGGCUAACUCCGUG
rnacentral:rRNA from 1 species